ACKGCUCAGUAACACGUCGGUAAUCUGCCCUAAGGUCAGGGAUAACCUCGCGAAAGUGAGGGUAAUACCUGAUAGGGAAAUUCGUCUGGAAGGACUUUUUCCCAGAAACUCGUGCCUUAGGAUGAGCCGGCGGCGGAUUAGGCAGUUGGCGGUGUAAUGGACCACCAAACCGAAGAUCCGUACGGGCCAUGAGAGUGGGAGCCCGGAGAGGGACACUGUGAUACUGGUCCCAGGCCCUACGGGGCGCAGCAGUCGCGAAAACUUCGCAAUAAGCGAAAGCUUGACGGGGCUAUCCCGAGUGCCGUCUGCUGAAGAUGGCUUUUACCUAGUGUAGAUAGCUGGGGGAAUAAGGGGAGGGCAAGUCUGGUGUCAGCCGCCGCGGUAAUACCAGCUCCCCGAGUGGUGGGGAUGAUUAUUGGGCCUAAAGCAUCCGUAGCCGGCUGGACAAGUCCCCUGUUAAACCCAACGAUCCAAUCGCUGGUCUGCGGGGGAUACUGUCCGGCUAGGGGGCGGGAGAGGCCGCCGGUAUUUCCGGGGUAGGGGUGAAAUCCUAUAAUCCCGGGAGGACCACCAGUGGCGAGGGCUGUCGGCUAGAACGCGCCCGACGGUGAGGGAUGAAAGCUGGGGGAGCGAACCGGAUUAGAUACCCGGGUAGUCCCAGCUGUAAACGAUGCAGGCUAGGUGUUAGGGCGGCUACGUGCCGCUCUAGUGCCGCAGGGAAGCUGUUAAGCCUGCCGCCUGGGGAGUACGGCCGCAAGGCUGAAACUUAAAGGAAUUGGCGGGGGAGCAC
rnacentral:rRNA from 1 species